GUGGAAUGGAAAUGUAAACAAGAAACGAAAAGCUUCAUAUGCUGCAGUAGAACCAAGUGAGGACUUACUCAGAGAAAGAUCAGCACGAUCGGAAAGACGUAGCUGACUUCCCAGAGCCACCUUCAUCCGCCAAUCAUUUGUUGUGUGGAAACAGACUGCCUAAAAGGCGUCAGGCUGUGUGGCAGGAGCAAAAGCAUUAUUACCAUGUGUGUGAAAUCCAUCCUGUACAGUGUUUGUGUUGUGCUGAGAGACAGAAAUGUAUGAAUUUUUGAAUUCUGAGUGCAAAGAACCCAAAAAAAAAGGCAACCCCCAUAACUGACGCGUGCACUCAACUCCCUCGACAGUGUUCAAUCACAACUUCAAAGUAUAAUUGACCUUUUCAUCUGUCCCAAUAGAAAGGGCAUAGUAAUGAGCAAAGACGGAUCUUAAGAUUAAUUGGCUUUCCUUUAAAGUCUUGCCUUGUCCUUGCUGUGGGCUCGUCUGCACAUCUGUGGAUCAUUAUUGCCGAGACGGGCUCCAAGGCUGACAUUGGGGCCCUUUCAAUAAUCGUACCACUGCUCGACAGGCCCAAGACAUUUCUGCAUGUACCCCCGUCACGUGACCGUGGCGACAAACGCCCUUGGCGCUCGACUGGUAACCAACUGGUUUUGCCUCCACAGUGAACAGACUGUGGAGAUGGAACAAUACGAAGGUGGUUGGCUCUAAAACGGUCUCUCACUCUCUCCAAGCUCACCUUCCCAACCAAGAAUCUGUUCCAGACUUGACCACAUUUCAACCACAACCGCCAUAUCUCCACACUCCAUGCUUUUCUUUGUCUUUUUUUUUUUUUGGUUAAUUUUUCAUAGCAGAGAGAAGUGCAUGUAAUCCCUGGAGGUACAACAUGAAAUCUUCUAAAUCUUUAAUAGCUUUUGUUGUAUCAUGGAUAUGGACAGAAGGUUAGAAAGCCAUGACAGCACAGACGUAGACAGCCGUCCAAUAGGGAGAGUGACUAACACCAGCUUAAAAAUAAAGAUGACGGAAAAUGUUGUUCUCUAAGGCGUAAUUCUAUAGAUGGACCACUUUUUAAUCCCUAAAAAGCAGUGUGACGGUUUUUAUAAAGAUUAUUUGCAGGAGUGAAGUCUGAGUGUA